rnacentral:rRNA from 1 species
UACAGAGGGUGCGAGCGUUGUCCGGAGUUACUGGGCGUAAAGCGCGCGCAGGCGGCGGUGCUGGCCCGGCGUGAAAGCCCCCGGCUCAACCGGGGAGGGUCGUCGGGGACCGCACCGCUUGAGGGCGGUAGGGGCUGGUGGAAUGCCUGGUGUAGUGGUGAAAUGCGUAGAGAUCAGGCGGAACACCCGUGGCGAAGGCGGCCAGCUGGGCCGUCCCUGACGCUGAGGCGCGAAGGCGUGGGGAGCGAACGGG